rnacentral:rRNA from 1 species
AUGAUAAUGUCAUGUCAGAAAAUUGGCUUGGCAAGAACAGAGCACUUACCCGUGAUGUACCUCGACGAGAGCUGCGCGGCAAUGACGAGCGCGCGGUCCUGGAUCCUCACACCAUGGUGGCCCUCGUACUUCUCCUUGAGCCCUCUCAGUAUGCUGACGGUGUCGGGGACGCUGGGCUCCGCCACGAACACCUGCUGGAACCGCCUCUCGAACGCCGCGUCCUUCUCCACGUACUUCCUGUACUCCUCGAGGGUCGUGGCGCCGAUGCACCUGAGCUGCCCCCUCGCCAGCAUCGGCUUGAACAGGUUGGCGGCGUCCAUGGACCCCUCCGUCCGCCCGGCGCCGAGCACCAGGUGUAUCUCGUCGAUGAACAGGAUCACCUUCCCCUCGGCCUCCUCCACCUCCUUGAGCACGGCCUUGAGCCGCUCCUCGAACUCGCCGCGGUACUUGGCGCCGGCCACGAGCGCGCCCAUGUCCAGCGCCACCAGGCGCACGUCCAGGAGGUUGCUGGGGACGUCGCCGCGCACGACGCGCUGCGCGAGCCCCUCCACGACGGCGGUCUUGCCCACGCCGGGCUCGCCGAUGAGGACGGGGUUGUUCUUGGUGCGCCGCGACAGGAUCCGCACCACGCGCCGGAUCUCCUCGUCGCGGCCGAUGACCGGGUCCAGCUUGCCGGCCACCUCCACCAGGUCGCGGCCGUACGUCUUGAGGGCCUGGAAGUUGGUGUCCCCCGACGCCGACUCCACGCGCCGGUUGUCGCCUCCCCGGAGCUUCUCCACCUCGGCCUUCACCCGCGCGGCGGAGAUACCGGCCUCCUUGAGCGCGUCGGAGAUCUGCGCGUCCUCGAGGAGGCCCAUGAGCAGCUGGUCGACGGCGAGGUGCGAGUCGCCGCGCGACUUCUGCGCCGACUGCGCGCGGCGGACGGCCUUGACCAGCGAGGUGGAGGCCGGGACGGUGUCGGGCGGCGGGGACUGCGAGGGCAGCCGCUUGAGCGCGGCGGACGCGACGCGCUCGAACGAAUCGGCCGCGGCGUCGUUGCCGCCGGACGCGUGGGCGAUGGCCUGGCGGAGGAUGCCCGACCUGUCCGCCGCGAGCGCCGCGGCGAGGUGCAGCGGCGUGAGCUGCGCGUGGCCGGCCUCGGACGCCAUCUCGUGCGCCGCCGCGAGCGCCUCAUUGGUCUUGUGCGUGAACUUGUCGGGAUUCAUGUCUUCCUCUUCUGCGAGCUACGGAUUAACCGCAACGGAACUGGCAAUGGUGAUUGGGGGGGAUUCGUUGGUUGGAUGA